UACGGGGGGGGGCAAGCGUUGUUCGGAAUUACUGGGCGUAAAGGGCUCGUAGGCGGCCAACUAAGUCAGACGUGAAAUCCCUCGGCUUAACCGGGGAACUGCGUCUGAUACUGGAUGGCUUGAAUCCGGGAGAGGGAUGCGGAAUUCCAGGUGUAGCGGUGAAAUGCGUAGAUAUCUGGAGGAACACCGGUGGCGAAGGCGGCAUCCUGGACCGGCAUUGACGCUGAGGAGCGAAAGCCAGGGGAGCAAAACGGGG
rnacentral:rRNA from 1 species